rnacentral:rRNA from 1 species
AGCGAACGCUGGCGGCAGGCCUAACACAUGCAAGUCGAACGAACCUUUCGGGGUUAGUGGCGGACGGGUGAGUAACACGUGGGAACGUGCCUUUAGGUUCGGAAUAACUCAGGGAAACUUGUGCUAAUACCGAAUGUGCCCUUCGGGGGAAAGAUUUAUCGCCUUUAGAGCGGCCCGCGUCUGAUUGGCUAGUUGGUUGAGGUAAUGGCUCACCAAGGCGACGAUCAGUAGCUGGUCUGAGAGGAUGAUCAGCCACAUUGGGACUGAGACACGGCCCAAACUCCUACGGGAGGCAGCAGUGGGGAAUCUUGCGCAAUGGGCGAAAGCCUGACGCAGCCAUGCCGCGUGAAUGAUGAAGGUCUUAGGAUUGUAAAAUUCUUUCACCGGGGACGAUAAUGACGGUACCCGGAGAAGAAGCCCCGGCUAACUUCGUGC